rnacentral:sRNA from 13 species
CGAAGUUGGAGGUUGGAGAGUGAGAGACGGCAGAGAAAACGACUGUCUCUUUCUCUGCCGUCUUUCGCUCUCUCACCUCUAACUUUG